UGUUCCCGGGCGGUCGCCAUUUUGGAAACUGACUAGCCUGGAAUAUCUGCCCGCGUCUACAUGUGGCAGAGAAGCGUGAUUCCGAGAUAAACCUCUUAGUUCGAAUGAGGUUUAACUGUUAUCUCGGAAUCGCGCUUCUCUAUCGCAUGUAGACGCUGGCAGUUAUUCCGGGCUAGUCAGUUUCCAAAAUGGCGACUGCCAGGGAACA
rnacentral:pre_miRNA from 1 species